rnacentral:rRNA from 1 species
CAGGCCUAACACAUGCAAGUCGAACGAUGACUCUCUAGCUUGCUAGAGAUGAUUAGUGGCGGACGGGUGAGUAACAUUUAGGAAUCUGCCUAGUAGUGGGGGAUAGCUCGGGGAAACUCGAAUUAAUACCGCAUACGACCUGCGGGUGAAAGGGGGCGCAAGCUCUUGCUAUUAGAUGAGCCUAAAUCAGAUUAGCUAGUUGGUGGGGUAAAGGCCCACCAAGGCGACGAUCUGUAACUGGUCUGAGAGGAUGAUCAGUCACACCGGAACUGAGACACGGUCCGGACUCCUACGGGAGGCAGCAGUGGGGAAUAUUGGACAAUGGGGGCAACCCUGAUCCAGCCAUGCCGCGUGUGUGAAGAAGGCCUUUUGGUUGUAAAGCACUUUAAGCAGGGAGGAGAGGCUAAUGGUUAAUACCCAUUAGAUUAGACGUUACCUGCAGAAUAAGCACCGGCUAACUCUGUGCCAGCAGCCGCGGUAAU